UACGUAGGGUCCGAGCGUUAAUCGGAAUUAUUGGGCGUAAAGCGCGCGCAGGCGGUCCUUUAAGUCUGAUGUGAAAGCCCACGGCUCAACCGUGGAGGGUCAUUGGAAACUGGGGGACUUGAGUACAGAAGAGAAGAGUGGAAUUCCACGUGUAGCGGUGAAAUGCGUAGAGAUGUGGAGGAACACCAGUGGCGAAGGCGACUCUUUGGUCUGUAACUGACGCUGAGGCGCGAAAGCGUGGGGAGCAAACAGG
rnacentral:rRNA from 1 species